GGUUUGUCGCGUUGUUCGUGAAAUCUCACGGCUUAACUGUGAGCGUGCGGGCGAUACGGGCAGACUUGAGUACUGCAGGGGAGACUGGAAUUCCUGGUGUAGCGGUGGAAUGCGCAGAUAUCAGGAGGAACACCGGUGGCGAAGGCGGGUCUCUGGGCAGUAACUGACGCUGAGGAGCGAAAGCGUGGGGAGCGAACAGGAUUAGAUACCCUGGUAGUCCACGCCGUAAACGGUGGGUACUAGGUGUGGGUUUCCUUCCUUGGGAUCCGUGCCGUAGCUAACGCAUUAAGUACCCCGCCUGGGGAGUACGGCCGCAAGGCUAAAACUCAAAGAAAUUGACGGGGGCCCGCACAAGCGGCGGAGCAUGUGGAUUAAUUCGAUGCAACGCGAAGAACCUUACCUGGGUUUGACAUGCACAGGACGCCGGCAGAGAUGUCGGUUCCCUUGUGGCCUGUGUGCAGGUGGUGCAUGGCUGUCGUCAGCUCGUGUCGUGAGAUGUUGGGUUAAGUCCCGCAACGAGCGCAACCCUUGUCUCAUGUUGCCAGCGGGUAAUGCCGGGGACUCGUGAGAGACUGCCGGGGUCAACUCGGAGGAAGGUGGGGAUGACGUCAAGUCAUCAUGCCCCUUAUGUCCAGGGCUUCACACAUGCUACAAUGGCCGGUACAAAGGGCUGCGAUGCCGCGAGGUUAAGCGAAUCCUUUUAAAGCCGGUCUCAGUUCGGAUCGGGGUCUGCAACUCGACCUCGUGAAGUCGGAGUCGC
rnacentral:rRNA from 1 species